UACGUAGGGCGCAAGCGUUGUCCGGAAUUAUUGGGCGUAAAGAGCUCGUAGGCGGUUUGUCGCGUCUGCUGUGAAAACGCGAGGCUUAACCUCGCGCCCUGCAGUGGGUACGGGCAGACUAGAGUGCGGUAGGGGAGACUGGAAUUCCUGGUGUAGCGGUGGAAUGCGCAGAUAUCAGGAGGAACACCGGUGGCGAAGGCGGGUCUC
rnacentral:rRNA from 1 species